rnacentral:lncRNA from 1 species
UUUAAGAAAAAAAAUCAUUUCUGCGUUUUAAAGAAAAAAAAAAGGAAGGGAGUUGGCGUGUUCUCUGGACUAAGUCCAGACUCCAGCCGAGGAGCCGCCGCGCCUCCGCCGCAGACGGUGGUCGGGCACCCUAGGUAAGACCUCCUUUUUUCCUUUUUUAUUUUUAUUUAAUAUAUCUUCUCAUAUAUAUAUGAUUAAUAAAAAAAUGAAAAAGAAAGAAACAUGCAUCAGGAAACCGAAUGAAAAAAAGGGAAAAAAAAGAAGAAAAGAAAACCGUCUCUUUCAAUUUUUUUAAUUUCUUGUAUUGAUUCUCCUUAAUAUUUUUUUUACAUCCCCCCCUCUUCCUGAUUACAUUGAUUUUGCUUUUAUAGCCAAAUACCUAUUUUUUUCUACUGUUUGUUUCUGCUAUUGCGUGUUGCAGGUGAUGGAGCAGGUGACGGAGCAGUUGGUGGCGUGCGGCGCUGGCCAGAGGCGGGGUUUGUGGCUGGCGGCAGCUAGGGUUUCAGAAAAUUAAAACCCCUGUUUGACUAUUGUUAUUUUUUGGGCCUGUUGGGCUGUUUUUAAUUCGGGCCUAUUUAUUAUUUUUUUAGGUUUUAUUUAUUUACUGGGCCCGGACAAAAUUUGAGCUGUACAUAAGCUAUAAAUAUUUUUCAUUUAAGAAAUCUUUUGUUUGGACGACUUUUAAGAAAUAGUUAUAUAUAUUCAUAACAUAAAAAAGUUAUAAUGGGAAC